UCAGCUGCUUCCCCUGGGUUCUGGUGGGAGAAGCUAAAGCUUGAAUCACUUCUGCUCCCAUUCUAACUCUGUCCUCAAAAAUGAUGAACAAGAAGGGAACCUAAGUGGAGAAUCUUACCCUAGAGAGACCCCAGGCUCCAGGCUGACCAGCCAUGAGGAGCAGGGAGUGAAAAACACUUGCAAGCUUUUCAGUGAGGCAAACAGCAAACUCCCAGCCCUCUCUAGCAGCAGCUGAAGAGGGUGAUUUCUCUUUUUCUGCAUUUUAAUUGUCGGGAUGUGGCCACACACAGCGGUAAUUGGAACAAUGCAACUACCACCACGCAACUGAUACUCUCAGCCUGAGUUUCCUAAAACAGGCCAGGCUGAGAGGGGCAACAGAACGGAAGCCAUAAGGAAUCAAACCAGGACACAAAAGAAGGUAAACCAGCUCUGCAAGGGGCCUCCUCGUUCUCAAGCAGACAUUUACAAAGUGUGAGAAGCUCUCUCUGGCAGCCUUCCUUCCCUUCCAUUUUGUGUAUCUGAGGGGUAGACAGCUCUCAACAUUUCACUAAACAAGUUAAAACUUCUCAGCUGAACGUUACUGGCACAAGGCUCAGCCCUUCACUGAGCAAGAAGGCCGCUCGGCCCUCCCAGUAACCCCACCAGGCCUAACUCUCUGCCCAGAAUCUCCCUCCACCACAACCCCCCAAGAUGACGACUAGACCCCCCCACUCCUAUUGGAUGGAAGCAACUCCUGACACUUGCGUUUCUGGGAUACUUAGGUUGUGUUGAAACCUGGACGACCUAAGAUCCAGUCAGGCCAAGGGAAAAGAAAGUCGCAAAUCCCCUGGGGACAUUCCCCCCAGGUCUCCCGGUCCCACACCUCUGGGAGAAACUGAAGGAAAACAUAAGCGAGGCAGGGAGAUGCAAGAAAAAGGUAAAUGGAUAUUAGAAUGCUCUUCUUCCAUAUGGCUCUCGUGAAGACAGGGGUGACAAGUGGGGUGCACCCAUCCCCCACCGCGACGAAAAAGCAAACGACUAGGCUCCCUCUAAUCCUCAACCUCUCCCUCUGUUGCCCUGCCUGUCCCCGCGGGGUGGGGCAUGAGGCAUCUACUGGCCCCCGGGGGGGCACUCCAGGGUUUGCUCAGAGAGACUGUCGCUCUCUUCUUUCCAUUCUGGUUCCCCAUCUGACCGCGGGAAGCGAACUCAGGACGCAGGGGAUGGGGAGGGUCUGGGACAUGCACUCCGCCACCCCCUCCCCCACCGGGUCCCGGGUUCUCCCGCCGAGACGGCCUAGGAGGCUCCGCCGCACCAGCGGCUGGACUGGGGGAUGGGAGAGAGGGAGGGACGGUCGCGGUGCCCGCCCCGAGGCCCCAGCACCACCUGCCCUCCGCUACCUACCGCGGCUCCUACAGCUCCAUGGGCCGCGGCCGGAGCAGCUCUGAGCGCUCCGUUCGCCCCACGGUGCCCUUAAAAGGCGCUGGCAAGAACCAACCGGUCUUUGAGGAGAGUAUGGGGGAUCGCGUCUAUUCACAGAAUCCCCCGGAACCUGCCGAAGAGGCCCAAGCCCUACGUGGUGUCUCCCUUAAUCUUUUUCAGAAUAGCGCCGUCGGAAAGGAGCCUAGAGCUGUGGUUUGGGGACCGGAGUGUCUCCUCACUAACUAAUCACCCCCUCCAAAAUAACGUGGAAAGUGGACAGGCCCAGUUGGAAGCAUAUCACGAAGCCCGUAGGGGAAGCCAUGUCGGAUAAAGCCACCUUUCUGCAAGCAUCCCCCCACCUUCCCCCGGCAAGGACUGAUCCUCGGCGUGAAGGCUGCUGGGAAAUGUAGUCCAAGCGCCGGUCAAGGCCUGCUCUGAGUAGCCGGAGCCCCUCUUCUAGCUGCCAGAUCUGCUAGAGCUUUUAUAAACCUGAGAUUUAUAACGGUU